CGGGUGGCCUCCUCUGUUGUUCCCUGUUCGAUCUGGCGCUUGCAAGGUAUUUUGAAGAACUCUUUUAAUGGGGCAUGGUAUGAUGUGCUAUGGAAGUAAAGGAUUUUGUUUGAGGCCUCCCCUUAUAUCUAGGGGAAAUAAAUCAUUGUUAUGCAUUAUUCUUAGUGGCCAUGCCUCUGCAAAUCAACUUAUUCUAGAUGCUGGUGUCGUGAUGGUGGUUCACCCCUUACAUGUUGGAUAAUUCUAUAUUUUCUAGAGAGAGAGAGAGAGAGAGGAUCACGAUCUUGCUUGUGUCCUGUAAUCAGAUUUAAAUGACACUCUAUUUAUAGUAGAUAGGCACAUGCUUAUUGUUGUCUUGCUAGACGUGCGUGGCAGAUGCCAGUGUGUUUAUCUGUACAUAUAGCGGCCUCUUCGAUUUUUUCUUCCUCUAGGAGAUGAUGCUAAAAAUGAUCACAUUUAUGAAGUUAUGCUCUGCUUUGGCUCAUGUUUUUAUCUUAAUCCAAGUAAUUGGUUCUCUCUUUUGUCGACGAGGUCCAUCAUGGUGGCGCUCUAGACGAGGCGUGCUGAACCUGGACCGGCCUCUUCUCGGCAAGCACGGAUCGCAGGGUCGUCUUCCUCUCUGGCCUCUUCCACACCGUCAUGGAUGACGCGUACUAGGUUGAUCUUCUGAUUUCAUUUUGCUCAGAUAUGGGCUUGGGCUCGGUCAUUUUAGUUGGUCAUGAUGAUGGCGGCUUGCUGGCCCUGAGGACUGUAGAAAAGUUACGCGCUUCUGGAGAUUCUAGGAAGCUUCCGACCGUCAUUACAACUGUCAGAAGGAAGGCUUCUAUCAUCUACUUAGAACCAAGUAUUUCAAUCAUGUGGCCUUCAGCUUUGCUUACACUCGUGUAACAUAUGAAUUCAACCUUGAUCAUACUGCUCCUUAUAAACCAGUGGAUCACUUUUUGCUAUGCCCUCCUGUUAAAUGUUGUCAUUGUACUGUGCUCUCCUUAUCAAAUGUCAGUUUUGUUCCUUGCUUCCAUCUGCCCAUCAUUUUCACACGUAAUGUAUGGCAAACCAUGCCCUCCUAUCCCCUUUUUUUAAUGAAUGUUGUGAUCAUGCAAAAUAUGUAUCCUCUCUACAUUCUCUUCUCCGUUAUGAUCAUACAAAAGAGCUAUCAUGUCUGCCAAUGGCAGAUAUGUUGGUUUCUAUGUAUAAAUUUAGCUGUCUCUUCAUUCACCAUCUGAUUUAAAAUUAUGUAUUCACAGAGAUACUUAAUACGAAAAUUAAUAGUUUUUUUUCAAACGAUUAGCAUUUUUUGUUGCCCGCCGUCUGGCGGGCAACGCGCGGCAAGCCGCGCCCCCUAUCUAGUUCAUCCAGAGAAGAAGAGUGCAGGGAACAGUGUGAGAUCGACAGCAGCGCGCGCGAUGGGGAAGAACGGCAGCCACCUGUGCUGCUUCUCUCUGCUGCUGCUGCUCGCCGGGUUUGCGUCCGGCCAUCAAGUCCUC